rnacentral:rRNA from 1 species
UACAGAGGGUGCGAGCGUUAAUCGGAAUUACUGGGCGUAAAGGGCGCGUAGGCGGCUAUGUAAGUCGGGUGUGAAAGCCCAGGGCUUAACCCUGGAAGUGCAUUCGAAACUACAUGGCUAGAGUCCCGGAGAGGGUGGUGGAAUUCCCAGUGUAGAGGUGAAAUUCGUAGAUAUUGGGAGGAACACCGGUGGCGAAGGCGGCCACCUGGACGGAGACUGACGCUGAGGCGCGAAAGCGUGGGGAGCAAACAGG